GGGCUGCCGCGCUGCCCGAUCCGCGGCCCGCACAGUCCCCUCGCUGUGGCGCGUCCCCGAGCCCGCACUGGGUGUUUCCGGAGGUGUGAGACUCCCGCCAGCCCGGGCGCGCCGCCGGCUUCACAGGAGCCUCCGGGCAGCGCAGCCCGCCCGCCUUUCCGUCAGGCUUUCGCGCCCGGCGCCCCCGCAGUGAUGGCGUGAAGAGGGUGGGCGUUCCGGUCCGGGAGGCCCCCGCCGCGGCUCCGGAAGCGCCUCUUCCUGGGCGGCCGUGGUGGUGGUCGCCGUGAUGUCUGCGGGGCUGGGUGGCUGACCCCCGUGGGUGCAGCAGGCCCGGGUCCCGAAUCUCGGCGGCCGCUGCUCGAGCGCGGCCUGCGCCAUGGCCACCUCCGCCGCCUCCUCGGAGCAUUUCGAGAAGCUGCACGAGAUCUUCCGCGGCCUCCAUGAAGACCUCCGGGGGGUGCCGGAGCGGCUCCUGGGGACCGGGGGCACAGAAGAGAAGAAGAAAUUGAUCAGAGAUUUUGAUGAAAAGCAGCAAGAAGCAAAUGAAACGCUGGCAGAGAUGGAAGAGGAACUACGUUAUGCACCCCUGUCUUUUCGUAACCCUAUGAUGUCUAAGCUUCGAAACUACCGGAAGGACCUUGCCAAACUCCACAGGGAAGUGAGAAGCACGCCUUUGACAGCCACACCCGGGGGCCGAGGAGACAUGAAAUAUGGCACAUACACUGUAGAGAAUGAGCAUUUGAAUCAGCUACAGUCUCAGAGGGUAUUGCUUUUGCAAGGCACUGACAGCCUGAACCGGGCCACCCAGAGUAUUGAGCGUUCUCAUCGGAUUGCCACAGAAACUGACCAGAUUGGCUCGGAAAUUAUAGAAGAGCUGGGGGAGCAACGUGACCAGUUGGAACGCACCAAAAAUAGACUGGUAAACACAAAUGAAAACUUGAGCAAAAGUCGAAAGAUUCUCCGGUCAAUGUCCAGAAAAGUGACAACCAACAAGCUGCUACUUUCCAUUGUCAUCUUACUGGAGUUAGCCAUCCUGGGAGGCCUGGUUUAUUACAAAUUCUUUCGCAAGCAUUGAACUUCCUGCACGGAAGGGUUUGUGGACCAGAACUUUGACCCUGAGAAUGAAUAGUGUUACAGAUGUGGAAUAAGUAUUGCUGCUGUGAGCUAACGGUUCAAGGAUGCACUGUGUAGCCAGACUGUGGGAAGAGGGAGGGAAGAUGGAAAACCAGUUAAUGUGAAGAAACAGCAGCAAGACCAGUGUGAUAUACCAAGGUCUUGCCAUUGUUGACAACACAGUCGUGGGACAGGCAGAUUUUGAAUGGCAGCACCUACACUUGGAUGCUUCUACUUCCACAUCCUUGUUUAUCUUAGCACCUCCUUAAACCGCAUCAAGCAUUCAGAAGUACAUGGACAUUAAAGCGAUCAACCUGGUGGAUAAGUGACAGAACUUGGGAACAUUCAAGUCCAACCAUGGAAUCUAGGAUGCAGAAUCAGUGAAGUGUGACAGCAAACAGUACUUGACUAUUACUUACUUAUCAGAAGAACUUAGAAAGAACUGUGGAAAGCUUACAAAGGAGCCUAAAGAGAAUUUGGUGGUCUUAUAACAACACUCCAAGGAAGAGAGACUGAAUUUCCUAAAAGGAUUUUGGCCAUUAAGUGUGUAACUGUGGAGUUGAUCCCUAGAUUAACUCACAGGCUGGAUGGUCAGUUCUUCAUGAGUAUGCCACCCCAUGUUCUCUGACUGCUUGUUCAGGGAACAGCCCUCUGGUUAUUUACUUAGUUCCCCAGUUGCCCUCAUAUAAGCAAGAGGGCUUCCUGACAGUGGAUCCCGAAAGGCUGCUGCUCACCACAAUUACGCAUACGCAUUUGGGGUUAUACAUCAUGGUUAGCUUGAGUCUCCGGGUCUGAGAGCCUGCUAAGCUCUGCAAGAGUUCUGUUCAUGGAUGGUCAGACCCCCCGAAGGGAUUAAUGUCUUGAGAGGCCCUACCUGAGUGGCCUACCCUAUGGGACUCCCAACUCUGCUCUUUCAUUUCCACAAUCAGUUCCAGAAGGCACUGGAGGACAGAAUGAACCUGAAACAGCAAGGAAGCUCGUAUGACAAACAGAUUUGGAACCAACUUGAAUGGGCUCUGCUGUUUGACAUGCAGUGACAAGCAAAGCACAGACUGACAGCCUCAGUGCUCCUCUCCCAGUGCUGGUAAUAAAACAUACACCGAAUACUAUUAAGAUCUUUUAGGCCCAGGUGUCACCUUUGGCCCUGAUAAACAUCUCCAGGCUCCACUGGAGUGAAACGAGAACACAAGUGCAUCAACAGAAUGAUGCAACCAUCUGCUAGGGAAGAAAUCAAAACAGCCCUACCUGACCUUAGCAGUGUCUGCAGACAGCACUUCUAUUUAGGGUCCUGAUCACUAGGGAAUCCCUGCAAGAAGCCAGGGACAGGAGAGGAGAAAAGGGAGUAUAAGAAUCUGCCUCGCACACCACACUCAGCUAGCGGCUUUACAGGUAGCUGCUAAUCUUCACACCCUCAUGGGUUUCACAUACUUGAGAGGGAGAAAUUCAGCAGUUAAACAGCUCCUACUGUUUAGAGCCAGCCUGAGUCACCCUUUGGAUGGAGACUCAUAGAAGGCAGUGUUACAAGUGAGCAGGCACUUGUCAACAGCAUCAAGGUAACUCAUUUCCCUCCUGCUGACUUCCACUCAUGGGGAGCUCCAGCUGCUCCCAAGGCCCCCAGCAAGUGGAGAGAGAUGGGCUGACACGGGAUGAUCCACUGAGCCCCAUGGGCAGAAUAGUGGAUUUGGAGGAAAGCUCAGGGCCCAUCAGUGUGCAGUUUGGUUUUUUUUUUCAGGCUGUGACUGAAAUAGAAUAGAGUGUUUAUGACUUGUCAGGAGUAACAAGUCAGUAAAACUUGGAGAAAAACAAAGAUGCUGAGAUCUCACUUGGUGCUGAGAGAGUACUAAUCCUAAUGGCUUUUACAAUUACAGACUCAAACGCUCUGUAAGACAGAUCUAGCUCCAUGCAAAGGGAAUUCUAGCAUUUUAAAGGACUGCUCCUGCUAAUUCUUAGAACCCCAAAGCUGUGCCUGGAAAACCAGUUCAUUGAAAACAAAGCUGCCGUGUUACUGGAGGCCGUCUGGGAAGGGAGUGCCACAGGUCCUUCAGUCCAUUUGAAGCUUGGACAUCUCUGAAAUUGAAAUUUACUUGGAAUAGUGAGCAGGAUUCUGAAGAAGCCCGCGCAGGAUCACCCUGUGGACCCAAACCUGGUGCUAGGUACCACAUGGGCCCCUUGUGCCCCACCAGCCCCUGCUUUGCAUGGGGUGAACUUGGGUAUGGAGGUAGAGUGAAAAACAUUCCUGUGUACUGAUGAUUGAUGUUGGGUGACAUAUGUAUUAAAUUCAUUAUGCUACCAUCUCUACUAUUGUUAUGUUGGAACACUUCCAUAAUGAAAAGAGAAGAUCCAUGGAAGCCAGCUGGCAUGCAGGUAUGGAGCUGGGAGCGGAAACAAGUGUGGGAGACAAAGUUUUGGACGUCAGCAUUCAGGUGAUAGGAAAGCCACGGAAAUGGACAGUGUUAACCGGCGUAGCAUAAAGCAAGAGGAUCAAGGACAGAACUCUGAGGAACAGCAACAUGUAAGGGAUAGGAAGCAGAUCUGGCAAAGGAACCUGAAGAGUUAAAACCAGAAGAGAGUGGUGUCAGUUUCAAUUAAGGUGAGUGGAAUGUAGCUGGCCUCCAACCUCAGCAAAACCAGUUUCAUUGCAAUGAUGGCCCGGGACACCAGAUUAUAGCCAGUGUGAAAGGGCAGUGGGGAAGCCAGGAUGGUGGCUCUGAAGAGAACAAAACUACUAUAGCUAGAAGGCUACAUAUGGUCAAGGGCGGGGGGUGGGGUGGGAGGUAGAUAAGAUUAAUUACCGCAGGGACAGGUGAAUGGAGAGAAGUUGAGAAACAAGGGGAGAGAAGGGAUAACAGCAGGAACAAGGACUCUCAGAACACAGGAAGGUAAGGGAUCCAGAGCACAGGGAGAUGAUGUGGCUAAGCGAUGCUUGUGCAAUAUCUAUUCUUCCCUUCUGCAGAGACAGGAGUUUCACUUGGGAGCAUGACUUUUUAGAAGAGAGACUAAAUUCACCACCACAUUCUUUUUUAAAAAAAUAUAUUAUUUAUUUCAGAGAGGAAGGGAGAGGGAGAGAGAUAGAAACAUCAAUGAUGAGAGAGAAUCAUUGAUUGGCUGCCUCCUGCUCACCCCCAACUGGGGAUCGAGCCCGCAACCCAGGCACGAUUCAGUAUGAACCUGAAGAGUGUUCAUAAUGACCGGAAUCAAACCUACGACCCUUCAGUCCACAGGCCAACACUCUAUCCACUGAGCCACGCCGGCUAGGGCUCACCACCACCUUCUGUAACUGGGUGUGGCCAUGUGACCCAUUGGGGUCAACAGGAUAAGCAGAAGUGUCCUGCAGCAACUUCUUGGGAACAUUCCUAAGGGAAAGCACAAGUUCUCCCUUUGCUUGCUUCUUUGUUCAUUCUUCCAUCCUGCUGCCAGAACUGAGGCCAUAGGCAUCUUGGACCAUUAGAUCCAGGCCCGCUGCUAACGCAGCACGGUAAGAAUCGAGGUCUGAACUUCCAGGAACGGAGCUGCUAAACCAGCUCCAGACUUCUCUCUAAACUCUGUUCACUGGAGAGUGAAAUGAACUAUUUUUCUUAAACUUCUAUUUUGGGCUCUGAUUAUCAUGUGCAAUUGCAACUACCACAUUGUCAUGUCCCUAUGAGAAGAAGCUACAACCUCAGGUGACCUUCCUUGUCCUUCAUACAUUUCUAUUCUAAUUUACUUUUAAGUGUUCCUUUUUAUAUGUAUUUUAAGUUGUGGUAAAAUACACAUAAAAUAACCACCUUACACUAUUUUUAAGCGGUAUUAAGCACAUUCAUCAUUGUUCUGUGAGUAUAACACCAUCUAUUUCCAGAACUCUUUUCAUCUUGCAAAACUGAAAUUUUGUACCCAUUAAACAAUAUUUCUCCA